UCACAAUUUUCUAACCCUAAUUUCUCUCCUCCUUGCUAAAGUCGCUCUAUUCUCUCAACUCUUCGUUCUACUUCUCAGCUCCUCAAUGGCGAAUCCAUCUGUUGCUUAGUCUUUUCUGUUUGUCUACACACUCUCCAUCAUUCUAGAACACUCACCUUCCUCAUUAGCACAAAGUAGACUCAAGAUUUUCAAUACAAGAAUCAGUUCUUCCAUUCUCUUGCUCCAACUCCAACAACAACGAAUUCCAGGUGUGAACAUUUUCAUUUACUUGAGAAGGGAAGUUGACAAAGCUUCAUACCCAAAAAUCAAUAUUAACUCCUCAGAGAAACGAUUAUACUAUAGAUGACAAUAUGACAAUACUAAUGGCAUUUCAGACACCAGAAGUUGAGGUCAUAGGCUUGACUACUAUCUUUGGCAACGUUACUACAAAAGAUGCUACACGAAAUGCAUUACUCUUGUGUGAAGCUGCAGGAUAUCCGGAUGUUCCCGUGGUAUAGGGUAGCUCUGAACCUUCUAAUAGUAACAUUUUUUUCUCUUUGCAAUCUCACAUACGGUAUAUUUCAAAGAGACAAGUGAUUACUGCAGCAUCACUUGAACAUACGUAACAUGAAGCUAAUUUUUUAAGUUUUUUCUACUGUGUACAUAGAUAUUAGAAUAGAUUAAAUAG